rnacentral:tRNA from 1 species
AAGAAGUUAGUUUAAAAAAAACAUUAAUUUGUCAAAUUAAAAAUAUUUAUAAAUACUUCUUA